ensembl:lncRNA
UGUGAAUGAACCUCCACAGUUCACCACAUGGGGACCCUAUGUGCAAGAGUUCGAAGUCAUUCCCAUCAGUGGCUCUCAGUCUUCUCUGAACCCCAUGGCUCCUGAGUUCAAAUCGCUAGGACUCCAACCAAUUCUUGAUCACUCAGUUGCACCUCUUGACACACAUACAGCUGUCCAUCAGUCCCCAACCCAAAGUGGCCAUGUCAUCAUAGACAUUCCAGAAGAUGAGAUAUUGCAAAGCACAGUGGUCACAGACCCAACACCAGCUCAUGACACGGACAAUGUUCAGAACAGGUUUCCUGUAACCCCUAAAAGGCACUCAGAAGUUACUUGUGGGGAAGAACAAGGUAAGCAGCCCAGGCGUUCAAACAGAGAAAGACACCCCCCACCCAAGUUCACCUAUGAAGAGCUAGGGAAACCCCUAAUCCUUGCCCUUAGCCAGUUUUUUGGGAAACUCCAAGACAUUAUUCCUGACCAUCAGAUACCUUGUCAGAUUUAACGCACAUGCAGGGACUCAUGUGGUUUAGAGGGGGAGGGUGUAACCCUGUCAAUUUUGCCCCAAUAAAGUCCUGAAGUGACCUUUAAUGCAAACGAGUAAAACUAGGGUAAAAUGCAAUAUCUAGUUCGCCACUAGGUGGCAGUGCACAAUGAAACGUUCUUCUUCUGCUGUUUUCUGCCAUUCGAGCUGCCUUGAAAAAAGCCUGGAAAACGGGAGCCAGAGCAGAAGUAAAUUUUAAGAUUGAAAUUGAUUUAGAAAACGAAAUAUAUCCUCGAGGUUGAACUACAUUGAAAUUUAGACGACACCUGUUGUAAAACGAAGUUAUCUCGGUGAGUGAAAAACUAUCAUUUUGUGUUGAUUAGCUUGAAGCUAAAAUGGUGAAAUGACUAAAAAGUUUACAUUUCAACAUUACAGUGGAUUACAGUGGAUUAAAAAAAAACAGUCUGGCUAUCUACAAUAGCAGUGGAUGUUACCACACAGACUGUUUUUUUUUUGAGGCUUCUUCUGGUCACAGAUCCCUGAUGUUCUUUCCACCGAAGCUGGAUUCCUCUCUGUUUGCCCUGGUGCCUGGUUCCCUGGUCCACUGCCUCAACUAACAGCGCUGCAACGGUUCCAUUGGGUGGUUUGAUAUGGACGCUGAGUAUUGAAGGGGUGGUUGGACAGUUAAAAUAUUUGAGUGCACUCAAGG